AGUUGAAGAUGGAAGAGCAUGAGUUGAUGGAGUCCAAUACUCCUCAGGAUGAAUGAAAUUUAAUGGGGUUUGAUGUUUGGUCCUUGUCCUAUCUCGUACUUUCUUCCUUGCAACCGCGUCUCUGAGCUUGCUGAUAUCAGAGACACGAGCACCGGCUGUGUGAGCUGCACCUACUCUUACAUUGCCACGUGGCUGCUUGGACAUCAAGAACUCCAAAGCUGCAAGGUUGGACCUCUCAACAACCCUAUUUUAUUCCAAAGAAGAAGAAGAAUGGUCGUUAACAAGAACUAAAAUGAAAAGGGGAGAACCGUGAUUUAAAAAUUCCUGACCAACACAAUUAUCAUGUUUGUCCCUAAGUCACAAUUCUUCCAAAGAAUAAUGGCUACUCUUUAAUGUCUAUUCAACAAUUGCUGCUUGCAAACUGCUUGCAAAUUACAAAUGUGAAAUAGGUGAAAGCAAAGAUCUUGCUUUACAAAACAAUUCAACUAUAAAGUAGAGAUAUUGUAAGUUGUAACUUUCUUCUUGAUUUGAAACAAGAAAUUUCACUCAUACAAGAGAGAGAAUGGCUGCAACAUGGCAGAUUAUUCUAAGAUAAAAAGGAAAGAGAACUUCCAUGAAAUUGGGGAAGAAAUAAUCUUUUAAAUAAAAUCAAAGUGAACAAACAAAAAAUUAGCAAAUAGAGGAAUACCAGUAUGAAUCCAAAAGAAUGUCGUAUUCUCAAAUAACUAAAAAAUGAAGGCUAUCUAUAAAUUUUCAAGCACUGUGGUCCAACCAAUGUAACAUUACUUCUAAGAUUGCAGUCCAAAGAGAACCAUUCUAACCUGGUUACUUGGAGAACUCCUUAAUCAAUCAACAUCAUCUCUAAUUUGUGCACAAAAAUCAACAUUUAAUGGAUCAAAGUUAAAUCCAGGAGAAUCUUAGCCGAACAAAUAUGAUUGGUAAGAAGUUAACUAGAUCAAUGGAUCCAGUACUUUAUAUGCAAUAAGCUUCAUAUUUGCUGUCUAAAUUCCGAAACAAUUUUGUAAGUCUCUGUGUAGCUAAGCUGUAAAUAAUUUAAAAUUUCAAAAAUAGUUGUUAAUAGAAGCAUAGUAAAAAGUUGGCAGACAAUAAAGAUAAAAAAAAAAAA